CAUGUCUUUUUGAAAAUAAUUUAAAGUUUAAUCUGCUCAAUGAUUUUUUAAAUUGCCGCAGUAUUUUGACUGUGCAAAGGUAGCAUAAUAGUUAGUUUAUUAAUUAUAAACUGGAAUGAAUGAUUGGACAAGAAAAUUACUGUCUCUUUAUAAAAAUUUUUGAAUUUUAUUUUUAAGUUAAAAAGCUUAAAUUUGUGUAAAAGACGAGAAGACCCUAUAGAGUUUAAUAUAAUUAUUUAAUUAAAUUAUAGAAUAUUUUUUAAAAAAUUAUAUUUGGUUGGGGUGAUUUAAAAAUUAAAUUAAUUUUUUAAUUAUUUGAUUAGUGAUUACUAAAUUUUAAAUCUAUAAUUUAUAAAUUUAAACUAAAUUACCUUAGGGAUAACAGCGUUAUUAUUCUUAAAAGUUCUUAUUAAAAGAAUAGUUUGCGACCUCGAUGUUGGAUUAAAAUUAAUUUUUGGUGAAGUAGCUUAAAAAUUAGGUCUGUUCGACCUUUAAAAUUUUACAUGAUCUGAGUUUAAACCGGUGUAAACCAGGUUGGAUUCUAUCUUUAAAAAAAUAUUAUAUUUUAGUACGAAAGGACCAAAUAUAAAUUAAAUUAAUUG
rnacentral:rRNA from 1 species